GAUGAACGCUGGCGGCGUGCCUAAUACAUGCAAGUCGAGCGAACAGACGAGGAGCUUGCUCCUCUGAUGUUAGCGGCGGACGGGUGAGUAACACGUGGAUAACCUACCUAUAAGACUGGGAUAACUUCGGGAAACCGGAGCUAAUACCGGAUAACAUGUUGAACCGCAUGGUUCAACAGUGAAAGACGGUCUUGCUGUCACUUAUAGAUGGAUCCGCGCCGCAUUAGCUAGUUGGUAAGGUAACGGCUUACCAAGGCAACGAUGCGUAGCCGACCUGAGAGGGUGAUCGGCCACACUGGAACUGAGACACGGUCCAGACUCCUACGGUAGGCAGCAGUAGGGAAUCGUCCGCAAUGGGCGAAAGCCUGACGGAGCAACGGCGCGUGAGUGAAGAAGGUCUUCGGAUCGUAAAACUCUGUUAUUAGGGAAGAACAAAUGUGUAAGUAACUAUGCACGUCUUGACGGUACCUAAGCAGAAAGCCACGGCUAACUACGUG
rnacentral:rRNA from 1 species